CAGCAGCCGCGGGAAUACGGAGGGGGCUAGCGUUGUUCGGAAUUACUGGGCGUAAAGCGUACGUAGGCGGCUUUGUAAGUUAGAGGUGAAAGCCUGGUGCUCAACACCAGAACUGCCUUUAAGACUGCAUCGCUUGAACGUCGGAGAGGUGAGUGGAAUUCCGAGUGUAGAGGUGAAAUUCGUAGAUAUUCGGAAGAACACCAGUGGCGAAGGCGGCCCGCUGGACAUGUAUUGACGCUGAGGUGCGAAAGCGUGGGGAGCAAACAGGAUUAGAUACCCCUGUAGUCCCUGUCUCUUAUAC
rnacentral:rRNA from 1 species